AGAAAAGGUCAGCAUCAUAACCAUAUCACGCAUCAAAGAUCCAAGAAAGGAGUUUUGCUAGUAUAAAGUUGGGGAUUUGGUGAAAGCCAGCUGCCAUGGCUUUUCUGGCGUGCAUCCCGCCAAGAUCUUAGAUGAUGGAGCUGAUGCCUGGUAGUGGGAUCUACAUUUAUCCCAAAGAUAUACAAGCUUUAUAUAAGCCAAAAAAAAAAACAAGUGCAACUUUUCAGGAGGGGGAACCUAACUGGUGCAAAUGAAAAGACCAUUUUAAACACUAUUCUUGGUAAGAGAUUAUAAUCUAAUUAAUAAAUUCUUUAUAUAACACUAAUAACAAAUUGUUUAACUUCGAAUAAGAAUAAUCAGUCGCCCACAUUUCUUUCAAUUUGUGAAGAUGUAUUUAAAAGGUGAAAACAAAAAAACUUGUAAUUUCUGACAUCCAUCUUUUAAAUUGGAGAAUCAAUGACAGUUAGUUACUAGAGUAUUUUCUUUUUUAUUUAAAGACGAUGCCGGGAUUCAGAGGCCAUUGUCAAGUUUUCGAUGAGGACCAAGAUUAGUUCCCAAGUCAGCCUCCAGAACAUGAAACAGACCUAGCUUUUAUACAUUCAGUAAUGUGAUAUAUAUAUAUAUAUAUAUAUACAGUGGAACCCCGUUAUUACGUUUUCCAUUUUGUCACGAUAAAAUAACGUAAUAACGGGGGCAACGUAAUAAACGUUCCCAGUGAAAUCCAUUAAAAAUAUCAUUUGGAAAUUGUAUAUCGUCCGUUGGUACUCCGUGAAGGGGUGUGUGAAUAUAUGUUUACUGUUUCUUUGUUUAAAAGACUAUGAUACUUUGUUUUAUUUACAUCUUAUCUUUAAUGUCCGUAAUUCUUCAUGUUCUUAUCCCUUUUCUUUAUUUCUGGUGUAGGAUUCAUAAGGAUGUUUUGAUAAACGUUGCUUUUCUGCAUUCGUUUGGACCGCCAUUUUGUUCAACUUUAAAACAAUGCGUUCAUGUAACUUUCUCUCAAUAACUCGUUCCGGUUCGUAUUCAACAUUCGUAUUAAAAAAAAAUAACAAAACAUUGUUUUUAUUAAGUUCGUGAAUUACACAAUACACAACGCAAUAAAAAAAAAUCCCAUCCAAAAAACAACAAAACUAUAGACACAAAACGCACACGAUACCCAACACUUACACACUUUUCUCACCAAUGAUAAACACGGAGAACAAUUUAAGCGCAAUCCACAUAAAAAAAAUAUAAUGAUGCACGAAGAUUUCAUUUACAACGCUAAAUGAUGGCACUAAAAUCACGUGCGCAUCAGGGGAUUUUAGAAUAUUCACAGAGGUAAAUGCCAUGCACGAAUCGGCCGAUAACACAAGACAGUUUGGUCGGUGUAUGUAUGGACGAGAUUUACGAACACCUAAGCUGCAUGUCCAAACAACGGACAAUUUUUUAAUUGAACACUUCCUUUAGUCACCUAUGUCCAAGAAGUUACCCAAGCGGUUUUAACAUUGCUACGAUAAAUCUUGUCUUUCAUGUUUGGUACCAAAGCUGUCCGUAAAUAGAGUUUUAAUAGCGAAGGUAAUCACACAAUGCUGAACACGCAGGUAGUUGAGAAAUUAUUUCUUUGAUUAUCAAAAUAUGAAAAAUGAAGUAACUUUCAUAGAGUACAAUUUCUAAAUAAACAUUAUUUAAUUGUUUAUCACUGGCUUCGAUACGGGGUAUUCACCUGUAUUGAUGUCGCUAGAUCUAUCGAAGCGUGAUCAGUCAAGCGUCUCUAAUCCCCAAACAGACCAGGAAAUUUACGUGGUGACUGCCUCAGGCAGUCAAGGUGUGAAUGGCUUAUUAUUUUGAGAAUCACUAUUGAAUAAAUAGGGGUUUAUUACGUUUUCGUCGGAAUUUUUACAACGUAAUACCGAGUCCCGGCA